rnacentral:misc_RNA from 1 species
AGGAUCUGCCAAUGCUUUUGCCUGCAUAAAGGUCCAAAAGGUUGAUAAAAAUAGAACAGUAAAAAAGCAGACACUGUUUCUUACCAUUUAUGUUUGAAAUGACCCUAAAAAGGAACCAAAAAUCACUUCAAUACACUUGACUUAGAAGUUUCAAAUCGUAAGAUCAGCCAUGAACUUAGAAAAGCCAACUCAGAAAAGCCUUAAAUUACAAAUUUAGAUUCCCAGCUACAAAUUCAACUAAGCUUUUAGUCCUAAAGCAUCUGGGACAUA